rnacentral:rRNA from 1 species
UUAGAGUUUGAUCCUGGCUCAGGAUGAACGCUAGCGGCAGGCCUAAUACAUGCAAGUCGUACGGUAACAGGCGUAGCAAUACGUGCUGACGAGUGGCGCACGGGUGCGUAACACGUAUGUAAUCUGCCCAUAACUGGGGGAUAGCCCGGAGAAAUCCGGAUUAAUACCCCAUAACACAACGAGGUGGCAUCACCAUGUUGUUAAACCUCAGGGGGUUAUGGAUGAACAUGCGCUCGAUUAGCUAGUUGGCGGGGUAAAAGCCCACCAAGGCUACGAUCGAUAGGGGUACUGAGAGGUUACACCCCCACACUGGUACUGAGACACGGACCAGACUCCUACGGGAGGCAGCAGUAAGGAAUAUUGGACAAUGGAGGCAACUCUGAUCCAGCCAUGCCGCGUGAAGGAUGAAGGCGCUAUGCGUUGUAAACUUCUUUUGAACGGGAGAAAACCCUCUUACGUGUAAGAGGCUGAUAGUACCGUUAGAAUAAGGGUCGGCUAACUUCGUGCCAGCAGCCGCGGUAAGACGAAGGACCCGAGCGUUAUCCGGAUUCAUUGGGUUUAAAGGGUGCGUAGGUGGAUUGGUAAGUCAGUGAUGAAAGCCCCAGGCUCAACUUGGGAACUGCCAUUGAUACUGCUAAUCUUGAGUGCAUAUGAUGUGGGCGGAAUAUGACAUGUAGUGGUGAAAUACUUAGAUAUGUCAUAGAACACCGAUUGCGAAGGCAGCUCACAAAACUGCAACUGACACUGAGGCACGAAAGCGUGGGGAUCAAACAGGAUUAGAUACCCUGGUAGUCCACGCCUUAAACUAUGAUAACUCGAUGUUGGCGAUACACUGCCAGCGUCCAAGCGAAAGCGUUAAGUUAUCCACCUGGGGAGUACGUCCGCAAGGAUGAAACUCAAAGGAAUUGACGGGGGCCCGCACAAGCGGAGGAGCAUGUGGUUUAAUUCGAUGGUACGCGAGGAACCUUACCUGGGCUUGAAAGUUAGUGACCGUUCCUGAAAGGGAACUUCCCGCAAGGGCACAAAACUAGGUGCUGCAUGGCUGUCGUCAGCUCGUGCCGUGAGGUGUUGGGUUAAGUCCCGCAACGAGCGCAACCCCUAUCUUUAGUUGCCAGCGAGUAAUGUCGGGGACUCUAGAGAAACUGCCCGCGCAAGCGGUGAGGAAGGUGGGGAUGACGUCAAGUCAUCACGGCCCUUACGUCCAGGGCUACACACGUGCUACAAUGGCAGAUACAAAGGGCAGCUACAUGGCAACAUGAUGCUAAUCUCUAAAAUCUGCCUCAGUUCGGAUAGAGGUCUGCAACUCGACCUCUUGAAGCUGGAUUCGCUAGUAAUCGAAUAUCAGCAAUGAUUCGGUGAAUACGUUCCCGGGCCUUGUACACACCGCCCGUCAAGCCAUGGAAGUUGGGAGUACCUAAAGUCAAUUGCCGCAAGGCGUUGCCCAGGGUAAAACCAAUGACUGGGGCUAAGUCGUACAAGGUAGCCGUA